rnacentral:rRNA from 2 species
AGGUUAAGUUAACAAGGGCGCAUGGUGAAUGCCUUGGCACUAGGAGCCGAUGAAGGACGGGACUAACACCGAUAUGCUUCGGGGAGCUGUACGUAAGCUAUGAUCCGGAGAUUUCCGAAUGGGGCAACCCAGCAGUUUUAAUCAACUGUUACCACUAGAUGAAUUCAUAGUCUAGUUGGAGGUAAACGCUGUGAACUGAAACAUCUCAUUAGCAGCAGGAAUAUAAAGAAAUUUCGAUUCCCUAAGUAGCGGCGAGCGAACGGGGAACAGCCCAAACCAAAGUGCUUGCACUUUGGGGUUGUAGGACUGAACAUUUGAGUUACCAAAGAACUUGAUAGUCGAAGGAUUUGGGAAAAUCCGCCAUAGAUGGUGAUAGCCCAGUAGAUUAAAUCAAAUUCUCUCAGUUCAGGAUCCUGAGUACGGCGGAACACGUGAAAUUCCGUCGGAAUCCGGGAGGACCAUCUCCCAAGGCUAAAUACUACCUAGUGACCGAUAGUGAACCAGUACCGUGAGGGAAAGGUGAAAAGCACCCCGGGAGGGGAGUGAAAUAGUUCCUGAAACCAUGUGCCUACAAUAAGUCAGAGCGCGUUAAUGCGUGAUGGCGUGCCUUUUGUAGAAUGAACCGGCGAGUUAUGAUCCCGUGCAAGGUUAAGACUAAAAAGUCGGAGCCGUAGCGAAAGCGAGUCUGAAAUGGGCGUUUUGAGUACGAGGUUAUAGACCCGAAACCAGGUGACCUAUCCAUGUCCAGGUUGAAGGUGCGGUAAAACGCACUGGAGGACCGAACCCGUGUAAGUUGAAAAUUGCUGGGAUGAGGUGUGGAUAGCGGUGAAAUUCCAAACGAACUUGGAGAUAGCUGGUUCUCUCCGAAAUAGCUUUAGGGCUAGCCUCGGAAUUAGGAUCAUGGAGGUAGAGCACUAUUUGGACUAGGGGCCCGUCUUGGGUUACUGAAUUCAGAUAAACUCCGAAUGCCAUUGAUUCAUAUCCGGGAGUCAGACGAUGAGUGAUAAGAUCCACCGUCGAAAGGGGAACAGCCCAGACCAUCAGUUAAGGUCCCUAAAUGUAUGCUAAGUGGAAAAGGAUGUGGAGUUGCAUAGACAACUAGGAUGUUGGCUCAGAAGCAGCCACCAUUUAAAGAGUGCGUAAUAGCUCACUAGUCGAGUGAUCCUGCGCCGAAAAUGUACCGGGGCUAAGCAUACUACCGAAACCAUGGAUGCGACCAUUAGGUCGCGUGAUAGGAGAGCGUUCUAAGGGCGGUGAAGCAAGAUCGUGAGGACUUGUGGAGCGCUUAGAAGUGAGAAUGCCGGUAUGAGUAGCGAAAGAUAGGUGAGAAUCCUAUCCACCGAAUGACUAAGGUUUCCUGGGGAAGGCUCGUCCUCCCAGGGUUAGUCGGGACCUAAGUCGAGGCCGAGAGGCGUAGACGAUGGAUAACAGGUUGAGAUUCCUGUACUAGUUAAGUGCGUUUGAGCAAUGGAGGGACGCAGGAGGCUAAGAUGUGCAUUCUGUUGGAUUAGAAUGUCCAAGCAGUAAGUCUUGUGAAGAGUCAAAUGCUUUUCACUUUAAGGACAAGCUGUGAUGGGGAGCGAAAUUUAGUAGCGAAGCGUCUGAUGUCACACUGCCGAGAAAAGCUUCUAGUGAGUACUUAACUACCCGUACCGCAAACCGACACAGGUAGUCGAGGAGAGAAUCCUAAGGUGAGCGAGUGAACUCUCGUUAAGGAACUCGGCAAAAUGACCCCGUAACUUCGGGAGAAGGGGUGCUGAUCGCAAGAUCAGCCGCAGUGAAUAGGCCCAGGCGACUGUUUAUCAAAAACACAGGUCUCUGCAAAAUCGUAAGAUGACGUAUAGGGGCUGACGCCUGCCCGGUGCUGGAAGGUUAAAAGGAUGGGUUAGCUUCGGCGAAGCUCAGAAUUGAAGCCCCAGUAAACGGCGGCCGUAACUAUAACGGUCCUAAGGUAGCGAAAUUCCUUGUCGGGUAAGUUCCGACCCGCACGAAAGGCGUAACGAUCUGGGCACUGUCUCAACGAGAGACUCGGUGAAAUUAUAUUGUCCGUGAAGAUGCGGACUACCCGCGACAGGACGGAAAGACCCCAUGGAGCUUUACUGUAGCUUGAUAUUGAGUGUUUGUACAGCUUGUACAGGAUAGGUAGGAGCCAUAGAAACCGGAACGCUAGUUUCGGUGGAGGCGUUGGUGGGAUACUACCCUCACUGUAUGACCACUCUAACCCGCACCACUAAUCGUGGUGGGAGACAGUGUCAGGUGGGCAGUUUGACUGGGGCGGUCGCCUCCUAAAAAGUAACGGAGGCGCCCAAAGGUUCCCUCAGAAUGGUUGGAAAUCAUUCGCAGAGUGUAAAGGCACAAGGGAGCUUGACUGCGAGACAGACAGGUCGAGCAGGGACGAAAGUCGGGCUUAGUGAUCCGGUGGUACCGUAUGGAAGGGCCAUCGCUCAACGGAUAAAAGCUACCCUGGGGAUAACAGGCUUAUCUCCCCCAAGAGUCCACAUCGACGGGGAGGUUUGGCACCUCGAUGUCGGCUCAUCGCAUCCUGGGGCUGUAGUCGGUCCCAAGGGUUGGGCUGUUCGCCCAUUAAAGCGGUACGCGAGCUGGGUUCAGAACGUCGUGAGACAGUUCGGUCCCUAUCCGUCGCGGGCGUAGGAAAUUUGAGAGGACCUGUCCUUAGUACGAGAGGACCGGGAUGGACAUACCUCUGGUGUACCAGUUGUGCCGCCAGGCGCAUCGCUGGGUAGCUACGUAUGGAUGUGAUAAACGCUGAAAGCAUCUAAGUGUGAAACACACCUCGAGAUGAGAUUUCCCAUUCCUUUAUGGAAGUAAGACCCCUGAAAGAUGAUCAGGUAGAUAGGUUAGAAGUGGCAGUGCGGUGACGCAUGAAGCGGACUAAUACUAAUCGGUCGAGGACUUAACCAAG